UGGGUGAGACUCCUUGGAAUGAACAUGGGAAGCCUCUAUUGGAAGUGAUAGCUCAAAAGGCCCUAGAGAAAAAGUCACAAGCUGGAAAGUGGGCUGAACCUCAUUUGGAAAUAGUUAAAACUGUAAGCCCUUCAUUUAGAAACAGCACCCUGACCUCAAGGUAUUGCAUGAAUGAGUUAGAUGAAUCAUGGACAAAAUACUUAAUAUCCUAUAUGUU